rnacentral:ncRNA from 1 species
CUAAAGACUGAGAUGAGGACUAGUAGGCACUGAAACGGUGUCACAGAAAGCAGCGUUUGAUGAGAAGCUGCACACACGCCUGUGUUGAAUGGACCUCGGAGUUUUUGAGGUGAACAGCAAUCAGUAGCUUCAAACGGACACACCGCCGUUAUCAGGGUGAAGGGUAUACGUAGAAUUUCUGCUGUACCUGAGUAAUGAGUGAGGCUGGCCUGGAUCCCGUUGCAACACCGACGGGUUUUUUGCUUAAACAGGUCGCCUAAGUUGGGUGGCACCACGGACAAAACGUUCGUCCCAAUC